rnacentral:rRNA from 1 species
UGAGUAACCUGCCCUUCACUCUGGGAUAACUCCGGGAGACCGGGCUAAUACUGGAUAUGACUCGAACAGGCAUCUGUUUCGGGUGGAAAGAUUUAUUGGGUGGAGGAUGGACUCGCGGCCUAUCAGCUUGUUGGUGAGGUAAUGGCUCACCAAGGCGACGACGGGUAGCCGGCCUGAGAGGGCGAUCGGCCACACUGGGACUGAGACACGGCCCAGACUCCUACGGGAGGNA